UGGGGAAUUUUGCACAAUGGGGGAAACCCUGAUGCAGCGACGCCGCGUGAUUUAGAAGGCCUUCGGGUUGUAAAAAUCUUUUCUAUGGGAAGAAAAUGACAGUACCAUAGGAAUAAGGACCGGCUAAUAACGUGCCAGCAGCCGCGGUAAUACGUAAGGUCCGAGCGUUGUCCGGAAUCAUUGGGCGUAAAGGGUACGUAGGCGGGUAAGCAAGUUAGAAGUGAAAUCCUAUAGCUCAACUAUAGUAAGCUUUUAAAACUGCUCAUCUUGAGGUAUGGAAGGGAAAGUGGAAUUCCUAGUGUAGCGGUGAAAUGCGCAGAUAUUAGGAGGAAUACCGGUGGCGAAGGCGACUUUCUGGCCAUAACCUGACGCUGAGGUACGAAAGCGUGGGUAGCAAACAGG
rnacentral:rRNA from 1 species